CCUACGGGAGGCAGCAGUGAGGAAUAUUGGUCAAUGGGCGGGAGCCUGAACCAGCCAAGCCGCGUGCGGGAAGAAGGUACAGCGAAUUGUAAACCUCUUUUGUCAGGGAAUAAAGGCGGGGACGAGUCUUCGGAUGAGGGUACCUGAAGAAUAAGCAUCGGCUAACUCCGUGCCAGCAGCCGCGGUAAUACGGAGGAUGCGAGCGUUAUCCGGAUUUAUUGGGUUUAAAGGGUGCGUAGGCGGCUUGAUAAGUUCGCGGUGAAAGGUCCGAGCUUAACCCCGGAGGAGCCUUUAAUACUGGCGAGCUAGAGAGGAGAUGCGGUACGCGGAAUGUAUGGUGUAGCGGUGAAAUGCUUAGAGAUCACACAGAACACCGAUUGCGAAGGCAGCGUACCA
rnacentral:rRNA from 1 species